rnacentral:lncRNA from 1 species
CCCAAAGUACGUGGCUUAUUACCUCCAAAAUCUGUCGUGUUCUUUUUCCUUAAAAAAAUCCCUUCAGCUGAUUCCUUCUUGUUGAAAGAUACUGCAGUAUGUUUCUGAGGAUCUAAGCCUCCAAUAGGAUCGGUGACUUUAAUUUCAACCAAUUCUGGCACCAUCAAAUCAGCUUUGUUUUGUAUGCUUAAAGCAUCACCAUCAUUAUCCUCCUGUCCAACAAAAACAGGGUUAAGACAAGAAUUAUUCAUAUUCAAAGAAUUAGCAAAAUUUGGAGAUGAAUUAAAACUUAGAGCAUCGGUCGACGUGCUAAUAACAUGAGCACUUAAAGAUUUAGAAGAUCCCCCUGUAGUGUCAACUUGAAACUCGAAUUUAGUGUUUGGUCUGUCCAGCACAUUAAUUCGACUUGACCCAUUGCAGGUAAUGACCUUAUCCGAUGUGGCAGCACCCGGGCCUCUUGCACCAUUAGCCUCAACAUUAGCAGCAAUGAAAGGGACUAUUGGGUCAUUCAUAGCAUGCCUGCUCACUUUAUAAAUCUCAGGCCCGACACUCUUUUUAACUCCCCAUAUUCGCUCAUUUCCCUUAUUAUUUUCCCUUAUCUGCUCUGUAACUUUUCCAACAUCCACCGCUUGACCCUCUGUUCCCUUCUUUGUUCCAACAUUCAAAUUCAGAUUUUCCAUAUUUGUCAAGGCGUCAAAACGGGAGCCUGAUUUUCCUUGGUCCCGAAGAUUCUCUUUACUAGAAUUAAUGUUCCUAGAUUUGCGCCUAUUUUUAUUCUCGACAACCAUCCAUGGCCCGUACGCUGCUCCGUCUUUUUCGGUUGCCCUUUUCGUCGGAAUAUCACUGAUUUGUUUCUUUUCGGAUGGCAAUCCCAGUUGCUCUACGACACAGAGCUCUUUAGUAUGGCCAUAUUUUCCACAAGUAAAAUAAAUUGAGGGUAGAGCUUCAUAUUCAACCUUUUGAUGUAACCCGUUUACAAGGACUUGAGCAGUCAAGGGUUUAUCGAGAUUAAUAUAAACAGCCAUUCGGGCAAAUCUUCCCCUAGUUCUGCUGUCUGUAUUGAAGUCCAAACAGACAACUUUGCCGAUCAUACCCCCUAUUUCUUCUAGUAUUCUCCUUUUAUAUAGGAACCCUGGAAGACCUGGUAGUCUUAUCCAAGCUAAUACCAUGCUUGGAUAUGCUUGAGAUGGAGUGAAGUCCUUUGUCCAAGGUUGGACAGUCAGGUAUUGUCCAUAAAUCAUCCAAGGCCCUUGCGACAAAACCUUAGCAUAGUCAUCUGGGGAUUUAAACUUAGCGAGGAAAUAUCCAUUCUCAAUGUCCAUGAGAUGGAAAGGCAUGGAAGGGUUCCAUAAACUGCUUAUGCGGUUGUUUAAGGCUCCAUAACCAAUAUUCCUUCCAAACAGUUUUAUGGCAACUGUUUGCUCCAUUUCUUUAUAUAAUAUUUGUUGAAUCCUCUCAGAAAAAUCAAUCUCAGGGAUUCUAUUUGUAAUGCCCCUAACCCCAAACCGUCUCGAAAGAGAGUUAUGGAGCAUUACCGGAGUUUACAGAAUAAUUACACACAAUUUCAUUUACUUUCUUAUGUUCAUGUCAAAACUGUCUUCUUGAGUAACCGUCACUAAAAUAUUUAUAUCUAGAGUUACGAAACUCCAAAUUAAGUUCCGUUAAUUUUUCUUAAAACUAGACUCAUAUACCUUUCUACCAUAAAAUUUUCAGAAUUUUUGGUUUAGCCAAUUAGUACAGUUUAUUCCUCAAAGUUACCCCAGAUCUGCUGUUUGACAGUUUCGGCCUUUCUUUACUAAAAUUUAAUUAUCUCAUAGCACAGGACUUGGAUGAUGUUCCCGUUUAUUUCUCUUGAAAAUAGACUCAUUAAAGAUUCUAAGCAUAUAAAUUAUAGCCUGUAAUUAUUUUUAUACAAUUUUUAAUGAUUUUCCAAAUUCAGAAUAGGGAAUUCCAAAAUCAAUCUGACAUUGUCUCACAAAAAUUCAAAUUCAUACCAAAUUAGUCAAAUCCUAUUUUAUACCAUAGCCAAAUCUAAAUUUAUUUAUUUCAUCCUUACAUUUACAAUUUCAAAAUGACAUACACAUAAGACAUCCUAGGUACAUGCCAUUAUCAAUAAUUAACACACUUUACCUUAAUGAAUUCGGGAUCGGACUGAGAUGCUGAUUCAACGUACUAUCUUUACUUAACCUGCGCACGGAAACAAAUCGUACGCUGAGUAUGGUAUACUCAGUGGUAUUUCUAUAAUCCGAACACUUGAUAAUAUAACAAUUAAACUUAAAAUCACAAUGAUAAAUAUAACCAUUCAUUUAUUUAUUUUAUCGAUAAGUUUCAUUUACUUACCAUAAAAAUUCUAUACAAGCCAUAUAACAAACAUAACAACAUAUUUGCUCAAUUCUUUCCAUUUGCUUACUGUAUAAAUUCUUUCAAUAUAUUCACAAUUCACUUGUAUUCACACUUUACUUCUUAACAAUAUACCAUUUUAAUUCAUUCUAACAUCAAUCAUCAUCCAUUUGAACUUCACUCAUUUCAUGAACCUUUUGGUUCAUGUUUUCAAUCUCAUAUCUCAAUUUCAAUUCUCAAUUCAAUUUCUCAUUUCAUUCCAAUAAUUCAAUCAAUCAAAUUCAGUCGAUUUAUCUUUUCACUUAUUUACCCCUAUUAACAAACUCGGACUUUGACGGAUACACGGAUUCCAACCCAAACACACCAGUACGGCACAUUGUGCCUAAAACGGUACACAGUUCUGAUCAAUAUACGACACAUUAAGUGCCUAAAACGACACACGAGGUACCUGAUACGACACACGAGGUGCCUGAUACGACACACGAGGUGCCUGAAAUACGACACAUAAAGUGCCUGAUCGAUAAAGCCGGCAAAUCCCGUACACUUCCAGAUCCUAUGGUAUGCCAAUUAUAUCCGACUCAGCCCGACUAGUUAAUAGGGUAUUUUAUUCACUUUCUCAAUUUAAUAAUUCUUUCAUCAAUAUCUCAUUCCGAUAAUUACACAUAUUUACCCAUUUUCACAAUUCAUACAAUAUCAUUCAAUUCAACAAAUAUAUUUCAAUUAUGCACAUUAAUUCAUAAUUCAAUUCAAUUCACUUUUCAAUACCAAAUAUUCAAAUAUCACAAUCUCAUAUAUUCAUAUCAAUUUCCUCAUAUUUCCAAUCAAUAUAUUUUUCAAUAUAACAUUCAUUCAAUAUUCAAAUUUCUACAUAAGUCAUAUAUAUUAUAUAAUUCAAUCAAUAUAAAUUCAAUCAAAAUAAUUUCAAUCAAUAUAAAUUCAAUAAAACAGAUAUUCAUAAAUCAAUUCAAUAUAAAUUAUAAAGACACAAUACAAAUAAUUCCCAUCUUAAUUAUUUAUCAUAAUAUUUAUCCAAAAUUCAAUUAUCAUAAUUGCAUAAUAUCUCAUUCACACACACACACACACACACACAUAUAUAUAAAUAUAUUUAUAAUAUAUAAUUCAAUUUAAUUCAAUCAAUAUAAAUUCAUCACAUACCAAAUUAAUCCAUUUCCAUUAUAAACACAAUAAUUCUCACUUCAACAUUUAUUAAAUGCAUUGAAUAAAAAAAUAUAACAAUUAAUAACUAGGUUCGGAUUAUAGAAAUACAAACCGUAUUUUCUCGAGCUAACUCGCUUUGUCUUUGCCAUUUUUUUUCCUUGCUUAGCCGAGGUUUCCGGAGACAACAUUAGCUACGGGAAUUAAAACAAUUCAUAUUCGUUAAUUCACUACUAAUUUAUAUCUAAUUAAUACAAUUUUUAUUCAAUUUCUACUUUAAUUUCAAUUUAAUCUUAACUAGAUUUACUUACUUUUUCUAUCUCAAUUCAUACUUCAUUUCUAUUCAAAUUUUGUCCAAACUCAUACUUAACUAUUAAAUUUCUAGCAUAUUUUCAUAAUUUCGAAUUUAUUUCCAUUUAAUCCCUAAAACUCAAAACUUAUAGCUUAGUUUACGAUUCAAUCCUUUAUUCAAUUCCAAUCAAAAUUUCUAUCAAAUAAACCCCCAAUUCCAUCAUUUUAUUCAACAUGAACCAUACUUAGAAAUCUAAUGACUUUCAAAAUUUCUACUUAAAACAAGUAGUAUUUAUCUCUAGGAUUCCAAAAACUCAAAAAUCAUAAGAAAAUAGGCUAAAUUGACUUACCAAAUUAACUUGGAACCUUUAAAACCUUAUUUUUCCCUUUUUCUUUUCUUCCUUUCUCCCUUCUCUGUUUCAUCCCCUGCUAUUCUGUUUCUUUCCUCUUUUUAUUCUUUUGUUUCUUUUAUAUAUAUAUAAUG